rnacentral:rRNA from 1 species
AGUUUGAUCAUGGCUCAGGAUGAACGCUAGCGGCAGGCUUAAUACAUGCAAGUCGUGGGGCAGCAGGUUUGUAGCAAUACAGAUGCUGGCGACCGGCAAACGGGUGCGGAACACGUACAGAACCUUCCUUUGAGCGGGGAAUAGCCCAGAGAAAUUUGGAUUAAUACCCCAUAGUAUAAUGAAGUGGCGUCACUUUAUUAUUAAAGAUUUAUCACUCGAAGAUGGCUGUGCGGCUGAUUAGGUAGUUGGCGGGGUAAAGGCCCACCAAGCCUGCGAUCAGUAACUGGUGUGAGAGCACGACCAGUCACACGGGCACUGAGACACGGGCCCGACUCCUACGGGAGGCAGCAGUAAGGAAUAUUGGUCAAUGGAGGCAACUCUGAACCAGCCAUGCCGCGUGGAGGAUGAAGGUCCUCUGGAUUGUAAACUUCUUUUAUAUGGGACGAAAAAGGCUUUUCUAAGUCGUCUGACGGUACCAUAUGAAUAAGCACCGGCUAACUCCGUG